rnacentral:rRNA from 1 species
UUAACUUACAUCUAGACCGCCAGGGAAUUACGAGCAAUGCUUAAAACCCAAAGGAUUUGACGGUGUCCCACCCCACUAGAGGAGCCUGUUCUAUAAUCGAUGAUCCCCGCUUCACCUAACCAUCCCUCGCUCAUCAGUCUGUAUACCUCCGUCGAAAGCUUACCAUGUGAACGCCCGCAGUAGGCUUAAUGAUUUCCCAUCAAUACGUCAGGUCAAGGUGCAACUUAAGGAAUGGCAAGUAAUGGGCUACAAUUUCUAACCUAGAACAAACGAAAGACUAUGUGAAAUCCUAGUCAUGAAGGUGGAUUUAGUAGUAAAAAGAAACUAGAGUGUUCUUUUUAACUCGGCUCUGGGACGCGUACACACCGCCCGUCACCCUCUUCGAUAGUAUAAUAUAUGUCCCUAACCCAUUACCACAUUUUAGAAGAGGCAAGUCGUAACAUGGUAAGUGUACUGGAAAGUGCACUUGGUAUAUCA